CUUGGUUUGUGCAAAUGAUGCAUUGCUUACAGUCUAUACAUCUACAGUGAAAACGAAUGUUUGGCACUAACAUAAUUUAGUUCUUCGUUUUUUUAUUUUAUUUUUUUUCAAAGAAGAUGUUAUUCCAUUUACGCGCAGGGGUGCAUUGCAAGCUAAACAACAACAACAAUAAUAAUACUACUAAUAAUAAUAAGCAUAUCCAAUAAUAGAAUUUGUGAGUAACAAAGAAAACAAAAGAAACAAGGGUAAGCUCUAAAUUCUUUCAUCCCCUACAUACUACUAAAUCCAUUGGCAACCAAGAUGAAUCCUGAAAAGAGAUUCGAACCUCUCAAUUUCUCGAAGAUCCAUUUAGUUUUCUCUUCCACAGUGCUCGAGAAGCGCUGCAAAAUCACCAGAAUAAACAAUUUUCACUACAGUUUACAAACCAACUAGAACACAAUUCAAAUUAAUUCAUCUCAUCGCAAAAUUGAUCCCAAAAAUUUGAGAAAAAAAAAAGAAAUCAAAAUACCCACAUCAGAAAAUGAUAAUUAAAUGCAAUGCAUAAGAGACUCGCCUAUAUUCAAAUGUCCAUAUACUCUUUUUUAUCCAACUUUUACCCAUUGCAGUACUAAUCAAGUUGUAAAAUCAACCUAUAAAAUAAAGAAAGCUCAUAGUAAUAAAAGAUAAUAUAGAUCAAACAAAUAAUUCAUAAACGUAAUGGUGACCCAGUCAAAAACAUAGACAAAUCAAAAAACUAAAUAGCACAGAGACAAACCCAAUCACCCCGGAUCAUAGGAAAAGAGCUCACCUCCACUACUGCUAGUUUAGUUUGGUUUAUUCGAUUUGAAUAGACCUUUCUUGCUGUAGGCUUAACAUUAGGGUAUAGUAUUGUGCGAGAAAGUACUUUUUUAGUAGUUUGAGUAUCUGUCAGUUUGGUUCAAUUUUUAGGUUUUCCUUUUUACAAAACUAAACUGAGUCAAAUUAGAAACAAAAGCCAAGCGAAUUGAAUCGAAAUAAUUCCAUGAGUUCAGUUUGGUUUAUUUAUUUGUUUGAAUAGGACCUUUGUUUUUGGAUUAAAGCAUGUUAAACUACUUAAAAAGUAUAUAAAUAUGAUUACUUAACUACCUAGAAGUCCAGCUUCCAAGGGCAUUUUCCAACAUUACAAACACCAACAAAUUCUAACAAAUGAAAAUUAACUACCUAGACCUUUGACUCUAUUGACUUCUACAAGCUACAUUACGGUAAAAGUAAUAUUUUGGAGUCAACAGAAGGCCAAGUGAAGCAACAAUUAAAGUAAAAUUUAAAGCCUAAUUUGAAAACACAGACUAUAUAAAGUUAUACAAAAAAUACAACUCCAAUAAUCAACUGUUAAUGUCCAGGUAGAAAGAUGAAACCUAAAACCACCAGGAUAUUAUCAUAACUUCAUAAGGCUAAAAUACAGGGAAGUCCCUACAAAUACCAUGAUUUCCAUUAAAACCACUAUUUUUUAUAGCAAUUUUGAAAAUCUCUUUGAUAGCUUUCAGUUCUAGCAAACUAAAAGGUCCAAGCAAAAGUUAAAUGCAUAAUUAUGUAUAAAAGGAAAAACUCCAUGCAAAACAACAGUCUAAAGUGUCUUAUGCAAUUAGCCAAAAGAUGAAGCAAAAAAAAUCUCUAGCUUUUACUAGAAAAAUGCUCUAGAAAACCACAGAACUCACAGAAAACCAAAGCUGCAAGCCUUAACCACAGAAUUCAUAGAAAAUUUACCAAUUUUCAACUAGUUUCCAACUAGUUUUCAGAAUGGCUUGUAAUCUAGGUUGAUCAACUUGCAAUUUACCUAUUUUCAAAGUAAUAAUCAUUGGCCUAAAAUAUACAUCCAACUCGUGAAGUUUCCCUUAUUACAAAUUAACAGAAAGAUAAGGAGAGACUUAGAAGAAGAAAACAUAUAAUUGGUCAUAUCAAUUAUAGGCAUCAGAAUGAUUUUUUGAAACAAGUUACCAUAAUAGCUCAGGAAAAAGGAGAUGAAAAGAUAAAAUGUAGACAUCUAGACAUUCUUCAGAACAUAUGCUUAAGCAAAAGGAAACCAAUUACACAAUGUUUUGAAAUACAGUUAAUAUGAACAAUCCUUUUCUCCUCCAUAUACAGUUAAUAUGAACUCUUUCAUAUUGGUUAGAUCAGUGAUUAACAAGCAGGAACAAGGAGAAAACGAAACUAGAUUGCCAUAUUUGCUUCUGGACUUGUUUGUGAAAUUCUUGACUUUUUAUUUAAGGAUAUCACACACAAAAAUAUUUUCUUGUAGAAGUAUUAAUGAGAAGAAGGCAGGAUCUAAAAGAGAUCUUAUGACAUGAUAAUUGAACUUCAGUUAUAAACCCAGAUAAAAAAUAUACCUGGGCCAAAAUGGGCCUUGAUGGCCCGGGCUCAGCCCAGUUAGUCUCAAUGCCUAAACAUCUAAUCUGAGUUAUGCUAUACUCUGAACAGUUUAGGAAUUCAUAAAUUAAAUGGACCAUACAAUGCGAGGAAUGAAUAAGAAUAUCACGUUCUCAUCUCUCUCUCUCUCUUUUUCCAUAGAAAAUAAGAAAAAAAAAGAGUUUAAAUUACCAUAAAAAAAGAGUUUAAAUUACCAUACGAUAGGAGCAUCAACUAAGCAAGCUCACUAAGCAUAGAAUAUCUCAAUUACCAUUUAAGAAAUGGAUCAUAGUAUCCGGAUGUGAUGCGACACACUGCAGAAAUUAAGAAGGAAAAAAACGAAGGUCAGAUAUGUAACAACUAGCAAAAGUUCUUGUCUAAAAAUCAUAAACCCUACAUCAACAAAUAAUCAAAUCAAAAAGAAAAUAGCAAAUCAUGAAGAAAAACAGCACCAAAAAAACCUAGACAUUGACCAAAGUACAGGUCAACAAAGAAGCACCUUAAAAAGCAAGCAAAGAGGAUCUUGAGAAUGUGGCCGGGUUUGCUGCAACUGCAACAGCAAGUGGUGGGAAAUUUGAUAAAAAGUUGCCAGGAGAGAAGCCGCCAAAGCACACUGGGAAGUAUAGAAAGGUUUGUUGCUCAAAUGAAGUCCUACUUUGGCUUGCUUUUUAGAAAAGGUUCUCUACUCGACGAGUUAGACAAUUGGCAAAUUAACAGUCUGGACUUUUUGCUGUGUCAAGAAGCUAAGAUGAGUGUCAGGCCCCUAAAAGCAGAGAAGCUUCAAUUUAAAGCUUCCACUCUGCUACCGGUACAGUAGGAAGCUGUUAGGGUAGUCUUUAUAUUUGUUAACAAUUUAGGAACCUCACUAGGAAUUAUGCUCUCACUUUGAAUUGGAUAGUUAGAACUUUGAAAUUUCAAUUUCAUUGUCUCGCCUUUUAUUAGUUUUGAUUUUAGAAAGUUCUGUUAAUCAUUCAAAGAGUUAUAGAAUAUUGUCAAUUAACAUGGUAUUCUUUUAGUUUAUAGAAUUAUUUAUCCAAGACAUUUAUAAGUCCUGGCAGAGAGGUAGUUACAUCAAGCAUAUUGUAAUACUAGGUAGUUAAAUAGGACUUCCAAAGGUUUUCGAGUACCUAUAUGGCUAAAUCAAAAUAUUCUGUGUCUGUAUAUUAGUGCUUUUUUGAUUCAUUCUAGUCAAAUGGAACAUCUGCAAAAGCUUCAGCAAUUCCAAUUCUGCCACAAGAACCAAGGUUUAAAGUGCCGCCCCGUGCCGUGCCACCAAGAAGGUGGCACGGUACGCGUGUGGGGGGAGGCUCGGACCCCCCUCCGUGCCGCGGCACACAACGCCGUGCCGCACGAGACAGAGCGGCACGGCGCAGCGUGCCACGGCACAGUGCCGUGCCGGCAUUAUGCUAUUUUUUUUUUCUUGCUUUUUGUUUUUUUUUUCCUUUUGUUUUGUUCUUUGGGGUAUCCAAAGCAUUCUAGAUACCCCACGCCUCUCCCCAAAGACAUUACAAAUCGAAAAUUUACUUAUGAGGUAAGUCAAAAAAAUUAUAAUUUAAUUUUUUUUUAUCAAUAUACGGACAAAAAAUUUGUCCGAACUUUUUUGCUUCUAUCAUAGAUAUCUAUUUUUCUNAUAUUCCCCCUUCCCCCUGUGGUCAUGUUCCCCUCUGAUACUUUUUCCUUUCUUUUUUUUUUUUUUUGGCCUUUUUGCAUUUGAUUGGUUCUUUUGACUGUCAAUGCUUUUUUUUUUCUUUUUUCUUUUUUUGUCAUGUUCCCUCUCCCCCCUCGUCUACUUAAGGCAACGACCCUAUCUCUUUCUCAAGCAACUUCCCAAUCACUUUCUCAGGCAACUUCUCUCUCCCUUUCUCGGCUAUUCUCUCCUUCACUUUCUGUCUUUUUUUUCUUCUCAGUGCUAAUAUAUCUUCCUAAAAUUUAUUAAAAGGAAGCAAAGACGUUGCAUAUUGUAGAUUUGCGUAUUAGGUAAGUCAAAUAAAUUAUAAUUUAAUUGUUUUAUUUAUAAAUAUAGGAGUUAAUUUUUAUUGAUAUAUUCAAUCCACCACAAACAUCUAUUUUCUUUUCACAAUUUUUUCUUCUACAUCAGAUAUGGUUGUACUUUACAUACAGAAAAGUUUACAAAUAUGUUAAUUGAUGAGUAUUAUAGCAAAUAUUCAUAAUUAUUUGAUUAAAUUUUCUAAAAUAACAUUAUAAGAGCUUAUUGGAACCAAAAGAAUUGAAAUAAGUCCGUGCCAAAGCGUGCCAGUAGGAGGUCGUGCGUAUCCAUCGGCACGCAAGCGUAUCAUGUGUCGGCACGGAAGCGUGCCGGUGCCGUACCGUGCCAGGCAGAUAACGGCAUGCCUCCCUGCCACGACACUUUAAACCUUGAUAAGAACUAUUUUUUCUUUUCCUACUGAGCCAUUCUUUUCCAUUUUGACACGAAUUUUGCCCCUUAUUAUUUUUUUACCUCGUGUGCAGUUUCUCCCUGUUGUUGAAGGAAAAAGGAUGGGUGCUCAAGAGAAGCAGCAAACUGAGAAAAUUCUUAACCAGCUCUUGGCUAAAAGUUCCCACGAAAUACUGGAUGUCAACAAGGUUAACAUUCCGUCUCUAGCUUUCCUUUUGUUUGCUUGGAUGUGACUUAUUUCUUUUGUCGCUUGUGUAGUUUAACUCGGUUUAUUUACCCAGGUUGUUACGAUGUUCAACUCUAUGGACUUUUGUGUCUUGGAAAGUUUUUUAAUAUCAUCAAAUUCCCUAAAGCUAAUCGAACAGGCUAUUUUCACCAGAACCAAGUCAAAUGGUAGGGUCCUUCCAGUGUAGUUCAAUUAAAUGCUCUAUCUAAACAUAUCAUGUUUCAACCAUUUUGAAACAACUAAUAGAAAACCAGAAAACUCAUCCUGAUCAGAUAGGACUAAAUUUGCUUAUCACAAGUUGUCUAAUGUCUAUCUAGUCUUUGUACAGAGAUCAAGAAGAAGUGCCGACAUUUACUUGUAAGAUUGUAGGUAAUGCACAUGUUGCUUAAGCUCUACAAAUUCCAACCAUAGUUAGUUAAUUCGGAUUCGGCAAAAGUUCGGUACGGGUAUAAUUCGGAUAAAAUUCGUCUUCUAAUUUUAAAUUCAUUGAAAAAAUGGGCUAAAAAACGGAUUCGCCAAUUAUUCGGAUAAAUGAUUUAUACGGAUAUUAUACGUUCACCAAUUAAAAAUUCGGGAUCAAAAAUUUGGCUAUUAAAUUAAGUUUUUUUCCUCUCAAGAUUUAUGCUAUUAGCAUAAACACUCAUAUUUUUUAAGAAUAUAAGAAUAAAGAGCUACAAAAUUAAACUAAUUAAGUAAAAAAAAAAAAUUAGUAAACUAUAUUAUGCCUCAAAAUAAAGAAAUAAUUAAGCAAAUAAGAGAUCAAGAUAGUCCAUAUUUAAAUGUAAAAUAUAAAGGUUCACAUACCAGGCUACCAGCAUAAUUAAAAACUAAAUACAAGAUGAAAUUGGCACUUUGCAUAGUGCAUAACUGCAUACUACCAUAUCUAAAUGCUAAAGACUAAACAGUAAACAAAUAAAAGAUACAUAAAGUUUACUAUUCCACAUAUAAGCAUACAUAAAAGCUUGAAUAAACAUAGAGCAUACAAGCACACAAUUCCACAUAUAAGCAUACAUAAGUUGCCUUGAGAAUUUGAGAUUUGUGUGCAGGGAUCGGAUUAAAAUAAGUUGCCUGGUUAGCUAGAAAGAGCACCACAAGGCUCCAUCAAAAUAUAUUGGAGGUUCUGAACUUCCUAGUCCCUAAGUUAAUUAAGAUUAUUUAGCUCUAUGUUUGGGUCUUCUUUGUGCAUAACAGAGAAUGGACACAUUCAAUUAAGCAAUAAGCACACGAGCCAUUUGUGUAUAAAAAAGUAUCCAUUAGGACUAAAAGCUUCCAAUUUUUGCUUUGAAGAAUGAAAACUCAAAUGGUACCUGGUUUGUAAAGAACCACCCGAUUACUGAUCUAUCGUUGGAUAGCGGAAGCGGAAGAGGAAGAGGCGACGAGGAGGGUUUCGAUUUCUGAAGAGUGAAGAACCCGAUCUUCGAUCUUCGAUUUCUGAAGAGGAGGGCUUCCGAUGGCGUUCGGCGAGCAGCCGGAAGGGAAGAGGGGGACCGCCGCAGGGGUCGGUGGCAGGGCCGCACCGCCGCAGCCGCAGGGGUGAGAUUGUGAGAAGUUAGGGCAAACCCUUUUUUUGGGAGGGUUGGGGGUGGGACUUGUGGGAGGGGGCCGAUUCUUUUUUUUUUUUUUAUGCGACAGGGCGAGGCGAGGUUCUCUGAAAGUUUUUUUUCCUGUUUUGGGCCACCCAUGAGGCCCACGAGUCCGCAUCAGCAACCGGGCCGUUUUUUUGGGGCGAAUUAUUCGCGAAUUGCGUUUAAUUCGCGAAUAAUUAUUUUUACCCAAAAAAAGGUGAAUUUUUCCGAAUUUUUGGAAAAAAUACGAAAACGGCUGUUUUAUUCGGCAUUUCAAAAAUUCACGAAUAAUUCGCGAAUUAACUAAUUAUGAUUCCAACUGAAACUCUGAUUGAUUCAAAACAAUCUUCGCCGCUUAUAAACCAUCUAUUUCUAUGUUUUAGUUGAAGUCAAGGAAAAAUCAGAAUAAAGAAACAGAAUUCUAAUUAGAAAACCUUACCAUCCGCUAAUAUAAACUCAUUAAAAGUUGAGUAAACAGUCCCUAUCAGUCAGCAACUUAGCAUAAUCUCAAAAUCUCGAGUUGGUUGAAAGGGAUAAAACCACCAACCAACUUCAAUAUUAUUACGUUUUCUUAUUGCAUUCUGUUAACGUCAUUAUUCUUUGUUUAAGAAGUUAACUCCAAGAAAGCCAGAAUUGUCAGCCUUCUUCUAAGUAAAACAACUCCAACAUCUACUCCUCGUAACUAACAACACACAUUCUUAGGAGGCAAUGAUAAAUGAAAACAUGGCACCGACAUAAGAAUUAAAAGUUAAGGAUCCCAUAUAUUCCUCCAAGUCGGAAUAGAGAACAAUCUUCACAUUGUUUGCUAGUAAGAGAGGAUUACAGCACAAGAACCCAACUAUGACAAAACCCUCUAAGAACCAGAAAGCAAACAAGAUGCAGCAUUGCUGAUCGGAAAGAGAUGAUCCUAGUUACUGGCCUCCUAACCAAUGCAUUAGAUUCGAAAGACGUAGUCCUCAGGCCUCUAUAGUAACAAAAUGGUUCAUCAAUAGUGAAUUCUGCACCACCGCAAAUCUAAUUAUAAAGCACAUCUCGACUCAUCGCACCAUCAAAAGAAACAGAAGUAGCUACAACUUCUCAGCUUCACAAACCUCUGCUCUUACAAAAAGCACUUUCGCCCACAAUAAGAAGAGGCAUACAUACUUAUUACAGACUAUUUUGAUCAAAAUUUUACUUUUACUACUCAAAUCUUUCAGUUACUUUAAAUAUCCAAUUUGUGCUGCAAUUUGCUCUGUGUAAUAUCUUGCGGCCUCUAUCUUUAAUUCCUAAAAUGAGAGGGAAAAAAUGUUUGUUAAGGAUGAAAAAAAAUUGUAUGAAUACACAAUAGCCUUUCAAUUUCGAACAUACAUAUUCAAGUCUGGAUACAAGCACACAGUGAGAUUAAUUAUAUAUUCUCAAUUUUCUCAAAAAAAAAUUCAGCAAAAUUCAUUUGAUAAAGGGUUACAAUAGUAAGAAUCUUAGAUGUAGCUAGCUCUCUAGGCAAUGUUCUUCUUAUAAAGUUAAUUUUAAGGAGCUCGAGGUUGACUAAAGAUUAAAUGAGCUCAUUUAAUUGCAAACGCAUAUAGAUAGAAACAUACGGGUGGCAAAAUAAAUUAAUGGAUUAAUGUAUUAAUGGUAAUGAUGAUGAUGAUGAUGAUUAUGGUUUGGUUUCAUUUCUUGCAGCAGUUUGAUCUAGCCUUAAUUGCGGCCCGCAUAUUAGUCCAAAAAACUCAUGAGAGACCUAAUCACAUACAUUCUUUUAUUAAUGUUGCUUUUUCACACUAUUAUUAUUUGUAAAAGGCUACCUAAUCAGGCCUCAUAAGUAUGUCGUUUUCUUGCAAUAUAAAGCAACUUUUUCUAUUUUCCUAGCAAAGACAUUAAAGUUGAUCGAUCGCGUUCUACAACCGGUGGCUAAAUAUAUCACAUUUCGUUUACUAAUAAACAAUUCUCUGUAAAUAUCACAACUUUCAGUUGACUUGUUACUUUAAACUCACAAACUAACUCAAAUUCCAGAAAAAAAGUCAUUUACGGAUUGAUACCUCGCCGUGCAUGCUUCUCCGGCUGAACAAAUCGUCAUCGCCGUAUUCUUUAUGAAAACUAAGAACCCUGUGCUCUGUUCUACGAGGGGGGCCAAUGCAAUCCAAUGAGCAAAAGAGACCACCUCUUCGGGAUCAAAAGGAACGCUUCUCAUAGCCCACAACGCCCACACAGGCAUAUCGACAAACACCUGGUGGGCAGAAACUCGAGCAUUUUCUACGGCAACAACCCGCAAAGACAUGGCCUUCCUCCUUGCUCUUCUCGCACCGAACCCAUGGCGAAGGGCUUGCUGAAGAUGUGGGACGGGGAUCGCCGUGGGAAGGGGACUUCAUCUUCACCUUCCUCCACGCCGGAUCGGAGGAAACCCUAGCAUCAUAGGAAACAAAGGACCCGGUGAGAAACCCACCUAGGGGAUUGCUCCUCCUCCUCGUCCUCCUCCUCCUCCUCCACCUCAUCCACGGAUGGUUGCUUAGGGAAAUCGCCGUCGCCAAACCCUAGAAAUGGAGGGUGUGGGAAGUGGUAGGUAGAGCUAGUGACAACUGACAAACACGGGCAGAGGUGGGGGAUGAGCAAUUAAUCACUACUUGCACCGGGUGUAUCAGACUGGGAUGUCGA
rnacentral:lncRNA from 1 species